AUACGUAGGGGGCGAGCGUUGUCCGGAAUGAUUGGGCGUAAAGGGCGCGUAGGCGGCCCGGUAAGUCUGGAGUGAAAGUCCUGUUUUUAAGAUGGGAAUUGCUUUGGAUACUGUCGGGCUUGAGUGCAGGAGAGGUAAGUGGAAUUCCCAGUGUAGCGGUGAAAUGCGUAGAGAUUGGGAGGAACACCAGUGGCGAAGGCGACUUACUGGACUGUAACUGACGCUGAGGCGCGAAAGUGUGGGGAGCAAACAGGAUUAGAUACCCUGGUAGUCCACACUGUAAACGAUGAAUGCUAGGUGUAGGGGGUAUCGACCCCUUCUGUGCCGCAGUAAACACAAUAAGCAUUCCGCCUGGGGAGUACGGUCGCAAGAUUAAAACUCAAAGGAAUUGACGGGG
rnacentral:rRNA from 1 species